rnacentral:rRNA from 1 species
UACGUAGGCAGCGAGCGUUGUUCGGAAUUACUGGGCGUAAAGAGUGUGUAGGCGGUGUUCCCAGUCUGUUGUGAAAUCUCCCGGCUUAACUGGGAGGGUGCAGCGGAAACUAGAGUGCUAGAGGGUGGGAGAGGUAAGCGGAAUUCCUGGUGUAGCGGUGAAAUGCGUAGAUAUCAGGAGGAACACCUGUGGUGUAGACAGCUUACUGGACCACUUCUGACGCUGAGACACGAAAGCGUGGGUAGCAAACAGG